GGGGUCGCUACCCUGUACCAACAAAGCAGCACACACACAAUAGCUGUAACUCCAGUUCAGUACCAGCCAUACUCGUGGUGCAUAUACAGGCAUACAAGCAAACACUCACAGAUAUCAAAUCAAAUAAGUACACCUUUUAAACAUUCAUUUUUUAGGUUAGCAGGCAAAGUAACGGACUUCGUAGCGGCAUCUUCUCCCAUCUAUACCAUUAUACGUCAGUCUCGCUUGCUCGCCCCCCUUACCUGCCCUCUCCCACAGUUUCUGCCUUCACUAAUUCCCCUUCCUGCCUUUUUAUUACAUGUGCUCUACUGCUUGAUUUCCUCCUAUCUUCUUUAAGCACUCAGCCCUCUCGAGAUCCCUUUGGCAGUUUCAUGACCUACAAACAGGCUCCUGUAAGCAAACACAUACAUAAACACACAAAUACAUAGUUUUAAGUCUAGAUUCUAUGCAUAAGUAAAAACAUCACUUAAUAUUCUGUCCCCCGUAAACUUUGCCUUAGUUUAUUUGUGGGAACACAUUUUUUCACAAUAAAUCUUUUAAAAUAU
rnacentral:lncRNA from 1 species